GACGUCGUGCCCGAGUGGUUAAGGGGAGUGAUUAGAAUAACCGGAAGUCCGAAUAAAAAAUCACUUACGUUCUGCGUGCGCAAGUUCGAGUCUUGUCGACGUCG